CUUGCCAGACUCCAGGUCCUGAUCCUUUCUGGCAGUACCGAAGAGUGGUCGUCCAGGAUACUUGCCGCGCUUAAGAUUCCUCCUUUUAUGGGGAAGAUCCUCGAUUUCACAGGGCUUCUAGGCUGGGAAGGAGAAGAUGCCGUCUUGCUGGCCUGCUGCUGCCCCCGGUCUGAAAGAAGGAGAAAAGGGCCAUCAUUGGAGGGGCUUUCACUGCCAAAUUGUGGACCAGCCCGGCAAGGUCAAAGGUUCGAGACCGCGGGAGACCAAGCUUGGAAGGAAGAGGGACUCUUAAAAAAACAUUAGGGACUUGAACCUUGUAACCUGCCAUACAAAAGAGGAGAGUCCUUCCAUGUAAGGAUUUUAAGUCUGGAACAAAGUCUUAUUUUCUAAAUGUUUAAGGAACUGAAUUUCCAGGCCUUUCGAACAAUGGCAAUCCCUGGAUAAAUAUCUACUCCAUUAGAAAGAUGCAAAUAGUUUACUGUAAGGCCACAGCACCGUGAGAUGUGCAUUCAUAUCUAUGGCUCCUGAUUGGCUCUUUCCUCCAGUAAAUCAAUGAAUAAUGUAAAACCUGAUUGCUGUAAAGUGGUGGAUUUUUGAAAAUUUCCCUUCCCCCAUUCCCUCUCGAUCCAAC
rnacentral:lncRNA from 1 species